rnacentral:piRNA from 1 species
UGACCCAGUCAUGAGCUCUAUCCUCUUGC